UAGUUCGUCAACGUACCGACUGGACGCGGAUAAUUCUCCGAAAGGAGUUGUAAUACGCGAUGAGACCACGGGCUGUCAGCAGCUUGAGGUCAAAGGUCCGGGAUCCUUCGGGACCGGGCGCCGGUUGAGCGGACGAACCCUGAUUAGCUAGUUGGCGGGGUAACGGCCCACCAAGGCGAUGAUCAGUAGCCGGGCUGAGAGGCUGUCCGGCCACACGGGCACUGAGACACUGGCCCG
rnacentral:rRNA from 1 species